GAUUGAACGCUGGCGGCAGGCUUAACACUUGCAAGUCGAGCGGUAACAGGGGGUGCUUGCACCCCGCUGACGAGCGGCGGACGGGUGAGUAAUGCUUAGGAAUCUGCCCAGUAGUGGGGGAUAGCCCGGGGAAACCCGGAUUAAUACCGCAUACGUCCUACGGGAGAAAGCAGGGGAUCUUCGGACCUUGCGCUACUGGAUGAGCCUAAGUCGGAUUAGCUAGUUGGUGGGGUAAAGGCCUACCAAGGCGACGAUCCGUAGCUGGUCUGAGAGGAUGAUCAGCCACAUCGGGACUGAGACACGGCCCGAACUCCUACGGGAGGCAGCAGUGGGGAAUAUUGGACAAUGGGGGCAACCCUGAUCCAGCCAUGCCGCGUGUGUGAAGAAGGCUUUCGGGUUGUAAAGCACUUUCAGCGAGGAGGAAGGCUCUGAAGUUAAUACCUUCAGGGAUUGACGUUACUCGCAGAAGAAGCACCGGCUAACUCCGUGCCAGCAGCCGCGGUAAUACGGAGGGUGCAAGCGUUAAUCGGAAUUACUGGGCGUAAAGCGCGCGUAGGUGGUUAGGUAAGCGAGAUGUGAAAGCCCCGGGCUUAACCUGGGAACGGCAUUUCGAACUGUCUGACUAGAGUGUGGUAGAGGGUAGUGGAAUUUCCUGUGUAGCGGUGAAAUGCGUAGAUAUAGGAAGGAACACCAGUGGCGAAGGCGGCUACCUGGACCAACACUGACACCGAGGUGCGAAAGCGUGGGGAGCAAACAGGAUUAGAUACCCUGGUAGUCCACGCCGUAAACGAUGUCAACUAGCCGUUGGGACUCUUGAAGUCUUAGUGGCGCAGCUAACGCACUAAGUUGACCGCCUGGGGAGUACGGCCGCAAGGUUAAAACUCAAAUGAAUUGACGGGGGCCCGCACAAGCGGUGGAGCAUGUGGUUUAAUUCGACGCAACGCGAAGAACCUUACCUGGCCUUGACAUCCAGAGAACUUUCCAGAGAUGGAUUGGUGCCUUCGGGAACUCUGAGACAGGUGCUGCAUGGCCGUCGUCAGCUCGUGUCGUGAGAUGUUGGGUUAAGUCCCGUAACGAGCGCAACCCCUAUCCCUGGUUGCUAGCAGGUAAUGCUGAGAACUCCAGGGAGACUGCCGGUGACAAACCGGAGGAAGGUGGGGAUGACGUCAGGUCAUCAUGGCCCUUACGGCCAGGGCUACACACGUGCUACAAUGGCGCGUACAGAGGGCUGCCAACUCGCGAGAGUGCGCCAAUCCCUUAAAACGCGUCGUAGUCCGGAUCGGAGUCUGCAACUCGACUCCGUGAAGUCGGAAUCGCUAGUAAUCGCGAAUCAGAAUGUCGCGGUGAAUACGUUCCCGGGCCUUGCACUCACCGCCCGUC
rnacentral:rRNA from 1 species